rnacentral:rRNA from 1 species
CAGCAGCCGCGGUAAUACGGAGGGUGCAAGCGUUAUCCGGAUUUAUUGGGUUUAAAGGGUCCGUAGGCGGGCUUAUAAGUCAGUGGUGAAAGCCGGCAGCUUAACUGUCGAACUGCCAUUGAUACUGUAAGUCUUGAGUAUAUUUGAGGUAGCUGGAAUAAGUAGUGUAGCGGUGAAAUGCAUAGAUAUUACUUAGAACACCAAUUGCGAAGGCAGGUUACCAAGUUAUAACUGACGCUGAUGGACGAAAGCGUGGGGAGCGAACAGGAUUAGAUACCCUGGUAGUCCACGCUGUAAACGAUGCUAACUCGUCUUUGGGGCGUUAAGCUUCAGAGACCAAGCGAAAGUGAUAAGUUAGCCACCUGGGGAGUACGUUCGCAAGAAUGAAACUCAAAGGAAUUGACGGGGGCCCGCACAAGCGGUGGAUUAUGUGGUUUAAUUCGAUGAUACGCGAGGAACCUUACCAAGACUUAAAUGGGAAUUGACAGACGCAGAAAUGUGUUUUUCUUCGGACAAUUUUCAAGGUGCUGCAUGGUUGUCGUCAGCUCGUGCCGUGAGGUGUUAGGUUAAGUCCUGCAACGAGCGCAACCCCUGCCAAUAGUUGCCAUCAUUCAGUUGGGGACUCUAUUGGGACUGCCUACGCAAGUAGCGAGGAAGGUGGGGAUGACGUCAAAUCAUCACGGCCCUUACGUCUUGGGCCACACACGUAAUACAAUGGCCGGUACAGAGGGCAGCUACACUGCGAAGUGAUGCGAAUCUCGAAAGCCGGUCUCAGUUCGGAUUGGAGUCUGCAACUCGACUCUAUGAAGCUGGAAUCGCUAGUAAUCGCGCAUCAGCCAUGGCGCGGUGAAUGCAUUCCCGGGCCUUGUACACACCGCCCGUCAAGCCAUGGAAGUUUGGGGUACCUGAAGUCGGUGACCGUAAAAGGAGCUGCCUAGGGUAAAACAAGUAACUAGGGCUAAGUCGUAACAAGGUAGCCGU